rnacentral:rRNA from 1 species
UACGGAGGGUGCAAGCGUUAUCCGGAAUCAUUGGGCGUAAAGCGUCCGCAGGCUGUCUAUUAAGUCAAGUAUUAAAUCUCGGAGCCCAACUUCGAGGCCGUGCUUGAAACUGAUAGACUAGAGUCUUUCAGAGGUGCGUGGAAUUCUGUGUGUAGGGGUAAAAUCCGUAGAUACACAGAGGAACACCAAAAGCGAAGGCAGCGCACUAGGAAAGUACUGACGCUCAUGGACGAAAGCGUGGGGAGCGAACGGG